GUCGUACCAGACGGCACGCGUAAGCUUGCUCUCUUGGCGGCGAGUGGCGGWYDGGUGAGUAAUAUAUCGGAACRUGCCCAGUAGCGGGGGAUAACUACUCGAAAGAGUGGCUAAUACCGCAUACGCCCUACGGGGGAAAGGGGGGGAUCGCAAGACCUCUCACUAUUGGAGCGGCCGAUAUCGGAUUAGCUAGUUGGUGGGGUAAAGGCUCACCAARGCAACGAUCCGUAGCUGGUUUGAGAGGACGACCAGCCACACUGGGACUGAGACACGGCCCAGACUCCUACGGGAGGCAGCAGUGGGGAAUUUUGGACAAUGGGGGAAACCCUGAUCCAGCCAUCCCGCGUGUAUGAUGAAGGCCUUCGGGUUGUAAARUACUUUUGGCRGAGAAGAAAAGGUAUCCCCUAAUACGGGAUACUGCUGACGGUAUCUGCAGAAUAAGCACCGGCUAACUACGUGCCAGCAGCCGCGGUAAUACGUAGGGUGCAAGCGUUAAUCGGAAUUACUGGGCGUAAAGCGUGUGUAGGCGGUUCGGAAAGAAAGAUGUGAAAUCCCAGGGCUCAACCUUGGAACUGCAUUUUUAACUGCCGAGCUAGAGUAUGUCAGAGGGGGGUAGAAUUCCACGUGUAGCAGUGAAAUGCGUAGAUAUGUGGAGGAAUACMGAUGGCGAAGGCAG
rnacentral:rRNA from 1 species